GGGCCAGUAAAGGGGGGCGGGGUUGGGAAGAGGCAGUGUUACCAUGGUAACCAGAAGGCGCGUCUAGUCUAGGCUCUCGGGCCAGGCAGGCUGCCACAAUGGUUGGCCUACACGUAGUGUGCUGCCCUUACACUCCCGCAGUUGACCCCUCACCCUCCCAAUGCUGACUCGCCACCACCUACCCGAUAGGGUACCCGGUGUCCUCUCCACAAGAUAAACAUCCUACAAGCCUCUGCUUCCACCCACCCCGCACAGUCUCCAAAACCAGGUAGUAAGAAAAGCCUAGACGUUCUGGGCCUCAUCUUCAAGAGAACCCCACUCUGCGGCCUCCUCUCACAGUCUGCUCAGGUGAGGAAGAUAUCUUAUGCCCCCAUUUUAUCAGGAAGGAAUCUUCUAUUACAGACUGCUGUUACCAGAUGCUUGAAGCAACAGCAAGAUGAGUGCCUGGAAAACUAUACUGUGGAACAGAGCCUCCAUUCUGUGUUAUAACUUUCACCAAUUUCACUGCCACUUCUGUGACCAGGGAAACAGGUGGAUUGACUCCUGAUAGCCUUUAAAAAAGCAUGACGGAUGGGCAGCGAGGGGCCCAGUGCUAUUGUUUUCCUGGUGACCAACAAUACAACAACAUAUCAACAGGGGAAGACUAACAAAUCGGCGUACAAGCCCCCAAGGACACCUGCCACAGCAUGGCUUGACAAGUGGUGGGCAGGUCCACACCUGGGAUCCAACUCGGCGAACCCCAGGCCACUGAAGCAGAGCUUGUGAACUUAACCACGGCGCCACGAAGCGUGCCCCAGUGUGCUCGUCUCUUUAUACCCUGCUGCCUCCCUGUGCUCAUCAGUGGGGUGUGUAGGGAGAGAAUGAAGGAGAAGCUGUGACAGCUGAGAUGAAAAAUGAAUAUUGAAGGAUACAGACAGACUUGUGAGUGGGCACGAGGUGGGUGGGAGGUGUCAAUUUUGCAGGGGAGACAUAGCCACACAUGGAGUUGAGGGCAGGAAAAGAUCAGUGUGGAAAGGAUAAGUGACCAAUGAGGUUGCAGAUGGCAAGGUGAGAGAACAGGGAAAAGUAUGUAUGAUGGUGAUUACAUCAGAGAGUGACAGUGGGUUCCUGCAACUGUUACUGGCUGCAAAAUGGGGGUCUCUCUGGCCUGGGAUGUCAUUUGUAUGUAACGUAGAUCUUUAUAAGUAAGUUCUCUAUGGCCUAUAGAUGCAUAUGAUUAGUCAGUAUUUUUCAGAAUUUUGAAUGCCCUUAGAUUUAACAUGCUCUUUCCAGUUCCCCAUAAAUCCCACCACUCCUUAUUUCGUUACACUUGCUAUAUUACUUGCCUGACUCCUGAAGGCAUUUGAGUUUGGAACCCUGUAUUUUGCAGAGGUGAGAAUUUCAGGCAGAGGAAAGAGACUUGUUCGAGGUCUCACAAUAACUGGCCAACUCAAAACCUAAACUCCAGGCCUCCUGACACUCAAGCAGCACAGUACCUGUGAUUAAUAGCCACAGAGCUAUUUGUCUAAGUAUACAGA